UAGUUUAAAAAAUAUAUACAUUAGACAAGACUAUUGGCAAAUGUACAACAGUGGCACCUGUUUAAACCAGAUACUACCGUCUUACCAUAGACUAAUUUCAAGACUUCGAUGUACCAUGUUACGUUUAGUUUUGAUUUGCCACAUAAGCCAGACAUUUGACCGAUUAGUAGAUAAGAAUACACCAAAUAGCAAUAUAGAAAAUGUUCCACGCGCGACCAGUUGAGCACCCAUGCCAGAAAGCUCAAUGAUUCUGCCCGUCGAUGACUCCGUUCGGCGAUGAUCCCGUCCGUCGAUCGCCCAGAACGACGACAGGUAGCAAGCUUCAAUACACACAGAUUAAAACAAGACGAUCAUCCCAGAAAGAAGAGCGAACGAAAGCUCGCUCGACGAAGUUUGCACUACACCAAAUAUACUAUAUUAACAAUAUAGGUCACUCUUACGAUUUUUUGGCGACACCUUUUUAGUGAAUGUGGUGCCACCAAGCGUCAGAAGAGGUAGGGGAUUCUGGGGUAAUACGCACCACUUAAGGAAGAUGCGUCAAAAUGCAUAUAAAAAGGCAAUAAUUUAUUGGUUUAAUGCAUGCAUUCAUUGCAUAUACUUUCAUUCUAAGAGAAACCAAACAAAAUUUCAGCCUCAAUACAGUUCAACUCUUGAAAGUAACGUUUUUUGUAAAGACCAACAUUACGGCUUCGUAUGUUUAUGCGGGGCAGUAUGCACCCUUGCUCGGGGUAAAAUGCACUACAACAAUGGGGCAGGAUGCACUCAAACAAAGGGGCAAGACGCACCACAACAUUGAGGCAAGAUGUACCAUCGAGUUUAGAAAUCUUUUUACUUCUUAGACAAAAUGCAUGUUUUAUAAGGUUUUAAGAUAAACAAUAGCUCAAUUUUGUUUGCGAUUACUUACAGAGCACUCAUAGAUAUUAUUACAGCUUGUUUUCUCUAGGUGCGUUUUGCCCCAACCAAUGGAGUGCAUAUUGCCCCAAUCAAUAGCAAAAAAUAAAAUAGUUUAAAACAUAUAAUUUACGUAGACUACUGUUUAAGUUAUUUUUCCUAUGCUUAGCAUUGCCCUCAAUGAACUGAACAAACACAACAGCAUGAGAUGUUUGGCCGGUUUUCGCCAUCAAAUCAUUCGACAAACGAUCGGGAAAAUUACAUCAGAAUCGUGCUUUUCAAUUUUAUUCAUUUUUCUCACUAAUUACGUAACGCAGAUAUGUAAAAUUUUCCAGAUGCUCAUUUAUUAAGACGUUCUAUUAGACUGAUAAGGUUUCAAAUCUCUAAAACCGAUAAUCCCUGAAAAACAAAGGGGAUGCGUUUUGCCUCGACAGUGCGUAUUACCCCAGAUGCCCCUACUGCUACACACUAAAUGCAUGCGCUAUCCGAAUGACGUUUAUUCUGUCGAACUGUCAUUGCAUGAUGGGGAUGCCCAUUUCUUCUGAAAUAAUCGAUUAACAUUAAUCGAUUUUUUUUCAACUACUCAAAUUAGAACAAAUUUAAGGCUUUUUACGACAUCAUCAGAAUCGGCAUCCAUGUUGGAUAUGUGGCUUGAAAUUUCAAAGUGAUACUUUUCUGCAACCAUAGCGAAUAUUUGUAUGAAAAAGUAUCAUCCUAUAUGCUCACUCGCAGUGAUUACGAUGAUACUUUUUCAGCUGCGUUGCUGCAGAACUGGUAGUUUUUUGUCACUUCAAAAACGCGAGGCAAACAAAAGCAAAAAGUCAAUGAUUCGUUUGAAAACUUGGUGAUGCAUCAGUACACCUUAAUUAUCUCUUCUUAAACAAUUUUUGGCGUAUAUGACACAUUCCACGCACUUCUGCGCCAAGGGUGUCAAAUUUCAAAGUGAUUGUUUUGCCCCAAACUUUCCAGCAUAUUACUUAAAAUUUGACUGGUAACGUAUUUAAAUAGCUAGGUGAAGUAAUAGCAUUUUGUGUAAGAAAAAUGAAAUUUUUCAUUGAUAAUUGUCAAAUAUGCCUGCUCGCAUGUUAAAGUUCGCAAACAUUGCACCUAUUUUUUGUUAAUGUAGUAUAAUAUUGUAUAUUUUAUAGACCGAAAAAAAAAAACUUUCCAUAAAAAUGGGUUUUGAUAUGUUUUAAGCACUUUUUGCAAUAGCCGCAAUUUGAUGAUGUCCCGUUACGAAAAUAGCACAUUUGUUGUAAUAACGAAUUUAUUACGAACUUUAGAAAAAUGAUUUUCAGAAUUCUCUUAGUACUCGUGGAGACCUUUCUUCCAACAUAUGGGUACCCUUGAUCGACGCGUUACCUUAGGCGUUACAAUGGGUACCUAGAAAUGGUGUCCCGUUACGGAAAUUUUAAAGACAUUAUUUAGUGCACAGAAAAAAUCUUGCGGUAACUACUACUACUAUACUAUAAAACUUUGUUCAAAUUUACUAUGGCCCAUUGUGUUGAAAACAACAAAGAAAUCAAUCAGUAUAACCAAAUUAUGGUUGUAAAUACUAUGGCUUUUCCGAAAUCAGCAAUAGUAAUGUGGACUACACGUCAUAGUUAAAUUUACUACAUGGAAUAUACUGUGUUUGUGGUAGCAAUAACCAUGUGCGUUACUGUCAUCAAAAUUGUCGCUCCAUUUUUACCAUGUUCAUAGUUGUCUCAAGCGUUCCGCAUCGACAAAUUUCAGUUGAUCAUGUUUUGCGCUUGAUUUUACUACAAGCAUGGUAAUAUCGUUUAGAACCUCAUAACCGAGGCAGCGCCAUGUUGAUUUGAGAAAAUUCCCAAUUUCGGUCGCAAUCGCAAUUGAAACUGUUUACCUACUGAAUAAAACGAAGUUUUUCUACAAAAAAAAACAUAAAUAAACUAUUUCCUAAGUUUAAAAAGUGCUAAAAUGUUGCAAGUAAGUCCAUAUUUAUUAUGUGCGUGAAAGCAAUCCGUAGUUAUUUAUUAUAUUGCUUGCAGGAGAGGAUCACGGCCCGCUGGAGCAGAACCAAGUCAGACCAGCAGCCGACAGAGUUCCUGACAUGCAGAAUCUGUAGUCCAAUUAUGUGAACUACGGUUCUCUAAACACAGGCGAAAUCAGCGACUAUCAGAACCAGAUGAUUAAUUUGAACAAUCCUAGGUAGCGGUGGGCUGAAGUGCAAGCUGGCCGUGAUGGGCUUCCGUGGCAUUCAGUCUCUGUUCCGUUGUGCGGACACUGGAAAACCGAUGCUGGAUUACGAAGAGGAGCCUCAAAGUGAUGGUCGAUUUUGCAAAUUAGGUUUUCUAAUGGUAAACAGGAAAUAAAUUAUGAUUGACUACAAGUUUUUAUUCUAGGAAUAUAAUUCAUGCUCUACCUGUUAAAAUAGAAGACAAAGUGUACUAAAUAAGUAUAAUUCUAUGUUAAUGUUUCAAAGUCAACAUAGAAAUAUGCUUAUUGAAUAUACUUGUUUUCUAUUUUAACAAGUGGGGCAUGUACUCUAUUUGACUACGACAUCCAGUACAUGACAGUGAAAAAGACAUCAAACAUAGUUAAAUCUACUAUGUUUACAGUAUACCAUGCAAACACAUUGUUUGUUAAUUUUACUAUUUCUGUAGUAAAAAAGUACUAUAAACAUGGUAAAAGUAACUGGAACCGUGAAAAUUCAAACAUGGUAAAUCAUACCAUGGUGACCACUAAUGCAGUUGGAAUAAUCGUGUUCAAUAGUCUGCUGAAAAACGUAGGUACAUUGCGUUUAAUUUAACCCCCUGAAAUAGUAUUUUCGACCGCAAUAUUGUUUUGCGUGUGAAUAAAUAAGUUUGGUUUGAUCAAAUAUUUAAUCAAAAAACUGUAACUAUGAUGAAAUGAUAUUAUAGGGUGUAUAUAUUUCCAUUAUCCUUCUUGGUGUAACGGCGAGUUCAAAACUAACAUAGUAUAGAAGAAAAAUCCUCUUAAAAAUGUAAAAUUUAUUUCAAAUGAAAUUGACUCCUUUAUUCCCAAGGCGCAUGAGCCUUCAAAAAAGGAUUAAAGCAACAUGCGACAAAUGCUUGAAAAGACUGUGUUGGAAGAAUGGCUAAAGUGAUUAUUUCGUGUGUGUUGUGUUUUAGAGGCUCCCGCGGAACUUGCUCCAGGUGUUACGGAGCGGCCAUAUCAGUUGAUACAUACUUACCUACGUCAAUUUUUUCUAUUCCAUUCUUUCGAAAUCAUGUAGAUUGAUACGUCACUCGGCAUGUUUUGGUUGCAAACCAGAAAUGUUCCCGAUGACAUCCCCGUGGAACCUGUGCUAUAUGUUCCGGGGUGGCCAUAUUAGUUGAUACAUACUUAAGUCAAUUUUUUCUAUUCCAUUCUUUCGAAAUCAUGAAUAUUGAUAUGUCACACGGCAUGUUUAGGUUCAAAACCAGAAGUGACCCCAAUGAGGCACCGCGGAACCUGUCACGGGGAUCCGGAUGGGUCAACUUAUUCAAAUCUAUUAUCGCAGUUGUGUUUCACUGUUCGCAACAAAAAUUUCGCUGAAAAUCGAUGGUUCAAACACAACAACACACGAAAUAAUCACUUUUAGCCAUUUUGACAACCCCCUGACCCCAGCACAAAUGGUUCCGGAUAUUGCAUGGCCACUUGAGUAUAAUAAACUAGCACCAAUUUACGAUUAAUUAAGGGCGACUUCAAAAAAAUCGGAUAAAAAUUGACGAAGUGUUAGUGUUGGGAUGAAAAUGCUCUGUGAAACUGGCAACACGGGCCAAAUAGCAGUUAGCGAAAAAAGCUGUUGAUAGGAGGUCGCAUCUUUUAAUAGCGCGGAAUAGAAUACUGAAAUGUAUGUAUAUAAUGAAUAAGUAAGAUUAAUAAAAUAAAUUGAAUUACAGCAUUGAAGCUGCUUUCAAUCUUUGGUGUAUCGCGCAAAAGAUGAUUUGUCUCCGCAACAAACUUCAAUGAUUUUAUGGUCGCGAAGUGAGUGCACCAUGGAUCCAGUGCAAAGUCUUUUCCAUAUGUUUUAUGAGGAAGAAGCACGUCGAAUCGAUGAAGAAUAUGAACGUGAUAUUGCUGAAAUAGAUGCGAAAUUUGAGGAAGCUGCGAGAAAAAAUCAGUUGGAUUUCCUCGAACAGAAGGAGGCAAUUAUAAGGCAAUUUGGUGGCGUUAACCCAUGUGAAAUAUUGGAAUCUUCGCCUAAUCCAGUCUGUACAGCUGAUCAUGAAAGCAGUAAACCAAUCACCCAUCAUCCAGAACCAUCACGUCAAAUGAAUCAUGCCGAGGUUUAUGAAGAAGAACACAAUUUCAAGCAAAAAAAAUAAUUAGACCUAUUUACCAGUUUCACGGGUGGGAGUGUUGGGAUGAAAAUGCUCUGUGAAACUGGCAACACGGGCCAAAUAGCAGUUAGCGAAAAAAGCUGUUGAUAGGAGGUCGCAUCUUUUAAUAGCGCGGAAUAGAAUACUAAAAUGUAUGUAUAUAAUGAAUAAGUAAUAGACUAAAAUUAAUGAAAUGAAUUGAAUUACAGCAUUGAAGCUGCACAUUAUGAAAGCUGCUUUCAAUCUUUGGUGUUUCGCGUAAAAGAUGAUUUGUCUCCGCAACAGUUAGCAUUUUGAAAAUGAGUUGUCAGGGGUCGGAUACGUGAAGGUUAAAUAAACCUCGAAACAGUUUCCCCAUUGCCCAUUCCGAAGGCCACCAUAGGGCCGGAGCGGGUUCGAAGGCCUAUUUGUGUCCUGCCGGACAGCUACCAUCUGUCUGAAAAACAUUGCCGAAGACACCAACAUUCUAUCUAGCAAAGCAUUUGAUCUAGAUGUCUUUAGCCGUAACGGGACACCAUUUGCAAAACACUGUUUUCUCGCGAGCGUAACGCUGCGCUCACAAAACUAAAUCAAGAAUAUUUCUUAAACUAUACAUUUCGCAGUAAAACUCACUUCGGCAAUCUUGUUCACAUCAAUCCAAAGAAGAAAUGUCUAGAAGACUAUAUUAUUCAAAACCUCAUAACAGAGCUGAUAUACGCAUUUCAGUUUGAAAAUUUUAAAAAGAAGAUUUCUGCGAUGGUGUCCCGUUACGAAAUGUAACAUGUUAUAUAAUGUAAAUUGGAACCAAACCCCCAUAGAACAAGUAUUGCAUCAGGAAGUACAUCUAAUAAGCUUGUUAUAAAUCCUGUUAAACCAUAUGGUCAUGAACAUUAUAUUUGAUUGCAGACGUCAUUUGUUCACGGAAGUUAGCUCCUCGUGGUGUCCCGUUACGCUGGAAUGUGUCAUAUUAUCGUUGCAGCACCAAAUCGAAGUCGCGACUCGCGACAUGCGAAAUAACUUUAACCCUUUGGAGCCGGAGGGGUCAUAUAUGACCCCGGCGAUGAAAUCGAGCAUAGCAAACGUGUUCCACACCAGCGAGGUUGCGUCGACAGCGGCGAAAAAAAUCGGCUCCAAAAGGUUAAACUGAUAAACGUACAUAACAGACUAAAACACAGAAGACCCUAAACGUGCUCUCCGUUAGCGAGUUAUGAACGGUAUUUUCCCCUUAAAUUACACAAGAAUUUUCUUGUGGGAUCCCUUUAAGAAGUGCACUCUGGAUUGUUUUUCUCCAAGAUUCCUACAGAAGCUCUUGGGGGAUUCCUCCUAGAAAUAAUUCUGGAAUUAUUUUAGGAACUCCUUUCGGGAUUGCUUAGGGAGAGCGUUCCAGCGUUCCUCCUCUAUCCUCCAACAUUUUUUUAAAUCAAAUUUCUCCAGCAGUUUAAAAAAAAACCUCCAGAUAUUCGUUCUGGUUUUUUUUCCAAAAGUUCCUUCUGGGAUUACAUAUCUCUUUCGGGACGAACCAGCACAAUCGUGCUGUUUUUCGGCAUUGGUUUUAUACAUUUUUUUCAAUUGUUUUUUCCUCAAAAUAUGUGAUGUAAAUAUUUUUUAUGAUCGAGUUAUUACUCUUACUUGUAUUUCUGGGCCUCAGAUUUGGUUGGAAUUGUUUAUGAAAAACGCCACAAAAAGUUAAACGAAAAGUAAACAAUCACCCUAGAAGUUGAAAAAGUUUUAUCUGUCGUAUUUUUAUAAAUAUUUGUUUAAUCCAGGUAUGCAGACAUAAAAAUCGAUAAAAAAGAGUAGUUCUGCAAAACGGCGAAAAAAAGUGAUGCAUUAUUGAAAAGCACGAGAUCUCUGGGUGGUCAAAGUGGGACCAGCACAAUUGUGCUGUUCCGUCCCCAAGGCGGUCCAAGUUCCAUCGGAAAUUGCCUAUUCUUAGGCGUUUUAUGGUAUAGAAGAUUGAGUUUAAUUAUUAAAUCACUACAAAGUAAUAGUUUGUAAAAACUUAGACGUAUAAUUUCAUUUCAAGGAUCACUAUAUCAGCUUGUACGAGUUUUUUUUAAAGAACUUUGAAUACUUGGGUGAAUAAUAUUACUCCAUAUUAUCGAAAUCAUGAAUUUGAUUGGAACAGGGAUUUACUGUUCUUAUUAUCUUCUUCUUAUUCACUUCUAUGAUUAGAAUACCCUUUCAAGCUGAUCUUGUGUUCCUAGAUUUGAAAUUAUACGUCUAAAUUUCUACAAACUAACACUUUGCAGUGAUUUAAUAAUUACAAUAAAUCUUUUGUACCAUAAAACGCCUAAAAGUAGGCAAUUUUCAGCAAUUACUUAGAGAACAUCGACCGGCUUGAGGACGGACCAGCACAGUUGUGAUGGUCCUAAUUUAACCCCAAAAAGUGCAUAGGUGGAUAAAGUAGCCGAAGUAAAAAAAAAAUAUUCUAGAGGACGUUAAGUUUAUAAGAGAAAAUUUAAGAUAAUCAUUCUUAUAUGAUCCGUCACGAAAUGGAUAUCUCCAUGAAUGAAACGCAAUCAGUGAAGUACUAGAUUUGUAGUAAUAAGCUGAAUUUUUGUAUAAUGAAAAAGUAAAAUGGUAACUGCAAUAAUGGUAUUGUCGUCGCGGUUCAAACCCGAAGAUUCCCGACACCCGACAAUCGAAUUUUCUCAUAAUCCAUACGUAAAACCUUACGUCGGGCGUAGUACGCUGGGCAGUGGAUCUGGAACUCUAUCCAGCGCACAUUGCCCGGCGUGCGUCCGACAUACGGUUUGGGAGAAAAAUCAAUUUUCGCGAGUCAAAAAUUCCGAUUUUCAACUGCACGAACAAUAAUAAAAAAGCAAGAGUUUUAUGACUGCUAGACUGAUUUGAUGUUGUUUGAGUAAAACUUUGGGUAACUGUGUUGUUGUAUUCUAAUUUAUUGCAAUUUCAACAACAUAGUUCCCCAAAGUUUUGCUGAGGCAGCAUCACCGUUUCAAUGCAGUAACGGAGAGUUUAGCAUCUCACCAUACAAAAAACCAACUCAUUACUACAAAUCUAGUAUUCACUUAUUCCUUCUGGGAAUCCCCGAUAAAGUACUUCUGAAGACAUUCCAAAUUUAUAGAAAUCUCGGAAGGAAUCACAAAAAUAAUUCUUGGAGGAUUUCUGAUACUCCAAAGAGAAAACUUCUGAAGUAAUCCUGGAAAGAUCCCUCGAAAAAUAUUAAUUAAAUUGUUCAUAUAAAAUCGCGUUGGAGAUUUACAGAGUCACUUCAUCUCAGAAGACCUUGUGGAAAUCCUUAAAGGACGGAGUGAAUUCCAGAAGGAACUUUUGGAGGAAUACUGGUAUAAAUCCCUGUUGAAAUUCCCAGAAGGAGGAAUUUUUGAAGGAACUCUUGGAUAAAUCACUGAAACAACUCCUGGUCGUUCUUGGAAAAUUUUGGAGGAAUUCAAGAAGAAACUCCGGGAGGUAUUCGUAAAAAAAAACUCCUGAGGGAAUCUUUGAAGGAGCUUCUGCAGGAAUCCAAGAAACUCCUAUAAGGAACUUCUUAACAAAUCCAAGAAGAGAAUUCUUGAGAAUUCCUAGAAUUAAUUUGUUCCCUUAACGCUAGAACUAGGUAACUCGAAAAUUGACGUUUUUAAGUUGAAUAUACCAUUAUAUCGAGCUUUUUGAGCUCUUUAAUAUACCCAAAGACCAAUGAAAUACGAUUAUAAACGACGAAAAUAUUCACCAUUUUCAAAACUAGGUAUCUCAGUGUAGAAUACAAGAACUGAGUGCUAUAACUAGGUAACUAAGAAAAUCAUAUCUAUUUCCAACCGCACGGGUUAAAAGCUAUCGGACGUGGAGAUGUUACUAGUCAUUCUUUUGUUAGUAGAUUGAAAAUCUACUACUGUUUUUCAUGUUAGGCCUAAAAACUUAAAAUAUUUUACUUGUUUCGAUUUAGCUAAAAACUGUGAUUGUUCGUAGACGAUCAUUUUAUGAACAUUUUGAGGAGUCAUGUGGUGAUAAAGCAGGCAUUCUUGCAAAUUCAGUAAUUAGACGUAAAUUUCAAUAUGUGAAUCCUUAUAAAUUUGCAAACUGCAACAGAAAAAUUGAAAAAAUGACAUCAAUAGUGGUAAAAACUAGGUAUCUCAGAACAUCUUCUUAAUUAUUUAUGUUGCAUUUUGAGUGCUAUAACUAGGUAACUCGGCAAUUUUAGAACCAUUUAUUGUUUUUAUCAAAGGUUUAAACCAAAAUAGUUCAAAACUUUUUCUUGAAACAGAAAAAGUAGAAGCUGAAUAAGCAAUCAAUGCUAAAGAACAAUUAUUUUAAAGGUUCCAUACCUUUGGAACAACUGCAUGUAAAAUUGUGAAAUUUUCAAAGUCGUUUUUCUCGAAACUAUGAUUUUUGAGUUACCUAGUUCUAGCAUUAAGGGGACGAAUUCUUGAAGGAACAUCAGAAGAAAUUGCUGGAGUAAUUUCAGUAGGAACUUCUGGGGGUCCCUCGAAGAACCUCUGGAGAAAUUUCAGAAAAAAAAAACUUUAAAUCAAUCUCUGAAGGCACUCUUGGAUGAACUUCAAAAAGAACUCCUGAAUGAGUCUCUGGAAAAAAAAACUCUAGGAGGAAACCAAGUGGAAUGACAUUUCCUUUUUUUAAUUGGAAAAUCCGCAUUUCAGGCCAAACAUUUCAAUAGGUCCUAUCUGCAUUUGAGAGGCUUUUUGUCCACUUUCUUUUUCAGUUAUUGCAAUAUAAUGGUACAUUUUUUAACUGUUUUUGCAGUACAAAUCAAAAGACGAUUGUUUUGACCCGAUGGUCACGAUUUCAAUGCAAGGAGACAAUCUUAACCUUCCUUUUGCAUCACGUUGGUAGCAGCUCGCUGACGUAGUGUACGGUUUGGGUCAAAAAUGACCCUAAUGCCAAAGGAGGGUUAAUUCAAAUAAACAGCUGAGUUAUUAACGGAAGAGAGGGAAACCAAAGAGAGCCUCUUUUCUGCAGAUUGGACCUUUAGACAUGUUUCGCCUGAUUUAUCCGUUCCUAAAGACACUGUAUGCUAAAGACACGAAAUCUGAUGAUUGUUGCUAUUGAUGAUGAUUGUCGCGUCAUGACGAUGAUGCUGUCCAGCAAUGCUUUUAAAGCGCGUUUGACAGGUCUCCUGCUCGAUUGGAAUGACAUUGACAGCAAAUUUGGAAUUCCAAUUGGAACAUUUCGUGUCUUUGCAUAUAGUGUCUUUAAUCCGUUCCUAACCGUCGCUAACCGCUGCUAACUGAGCCGCAGGCGCAAGGAAACCGAUUAGUCCGGAAUAAAACUAUCAGUAUUCGAAUAAACUCACAGUUCACUUCGGAAGAACAACGAAAUUAAAUAUUUUCAUCCUCAGGUCCGGUCCCGGAGCAUAUCUACAAUAAUCGAUUUCUUUUCAUCGACUUUCUCUUUGGUUAAUAAAUUGACCAGCAAAUCAUUUUCGGCUGUUUUUGUUGUUUUAGAUGCUAGUUCUAGUAGUCCUUUACUGAAACACGCCCAGAGAUGAUGCUGGGUCAUUAGGCCGAAGGCCAUUAGGCCGAAGGUCAUUAGGCCGAAUGGUUAUUAAGCCGAAUGGUUAUCAGGACGAAUUGAAAGUUAGCCGUUGUUUUUACCUUUUCCAACAAUUUUGUUUUAAAGAAGGAAAAAUUUAUGAAUUGAAUAUCAGCAGUUUCAGCGCCAAUAACUAUUUUAGCAAUGAUACUAGAAAGAACAGCCUAUAUUUAAAAGAAGGAGAAAUUCAUAGGUAAAAAAUCUGUAGAUUCAGCAUCAAUAAAGUAUCUUCGUGCCUGUCACACGAUACACACAUGCGAAAUGGUCAUUUGCAGAGGAAGCUCUCAGUUGAUAACUGUGGAAGUGUUCAUAGAACACUACAGUGUUGCGAAACUCAUGCUCACGAGUAAAAAAUACUCACUCACCUUACUCAUUUGUGAGUAAUGCUCACGCUGUGAGUCGCUCACGUAUGAGAGAUAAGCGGAAGUUACAUAUGUCGAUUCGGCAACGCUGUUCAUUUUGUUUGCCAACACUUGCUGCAAAGCUAGAUGUUCAAACUUUGUGCGUGACUUCGUAGUGGUUCAAGUUGUUUUGUUUACAUUUUCUAUUAUAAUUAGAUUAUAAUUUGAUUAUAUGUAAUCCUAUCAUAAUUAGGAUUUUUUUUUCAAAAUUUUGAAAAAAAAAAUAGCGGAGCAAUCGAUGAAAUCUGAAAUUUAUUGUAAAGUGUUAAGCUACAGUAUGCGGCAGGAAAAAAUGCGAAAGUGUUUUUCAACUUCAAACCUCAUUUUCGUCCAUUUGAAAUUAACCAAUCUAUGUUUCAACGUUCCAUGAUCUAUAAUAUGCUAGUUUUCUGAAAAGUAAUUAAAAAAUUUCCCAUUUUGGUCACUAACCUUUACAGGGCGGCGCCUGAAGAUGAAGACAACCAGAAUUUUCAAACCGCAGAAAAUCGCACAGGUCGCUAAAUUUCGCAUCUGAUAAAACAUUUUUUUUUUUGAUUUUCUAUACAAUAUCAUCAAAUAUAUGUACUUAUUUCAUCUGGUAUGUGAAACUACAAGGCUCUGGAUCAGUGUGGUCUGGUUGUUCAUCGAAUUUGAGCUAAUUUUGUUACUGUUAUAGUCAUUUUGUUUAAUGACCAUUGGGCGCGCAGUUUAUUGAUAUCCGCUUAUUAGGCCUACAUUAUCACAAGUUAAACAUCAAAUAUGUUCAUUUUUAUUUUUCAGUGCUAGAAUAUAGACAUUGACUGAUACACUGUCAUGAAAAAAUAGUAAUACAUAUCCAUAAUACAUAGCGUGUAAUAGUGCCUUGAACAUUUCGCAUUUUUUCCUGCCGCACCCUGUAAACAUAUCGGCAGAACUGAAGCAAGAAGCAGCAAUGAAUGUUUAUUCGAGAAGUGCAGCAACAAAAGUUUCGUCAUAAGCUUGAGCUUUUGAAAGCAGAAUUAAUUAAAUUUUAUAUUUUUACUAAACUUACAUAUACCGUCAAUUUCUCGAUAUUAAAUAUAAAUAAUUUUAAUUUAUUAAGCUCGGAUUGCAAUACCGUUCAAUCGACGCCUUCUUACGAACGAUCAGCCUGUUCAUUUGGCUCACACUUUGAUAGUUCUUUCUGCACGAUUGGCUUACAAUGGCCGCCUCCGCAGAUCUCUAUAAUGUAGGAUUACUAGCCCCAACCAGUGAACAUUCAACCAUCGAGACAGCCCAUCUAACGAGCUCUCAACGAACGAAUCGUCACUGUAGUAUAUUUGCUUUUUCUGACAAGUGAAUUUGAACUCCGUCUAAAUAAGGCUGCAUAAAACUCAAUUUCUUCCUUCUAGUGAAAGGAACUACACUAAGGUCUUUUUUACACGGCUUUUUUUACACGGUUUCGCGAAUUAACACGGUUUUUUUUUACACGGAUUCGCGAAUUAACACGGUUUUUUCAACUUUCUCGCACUAAGUGUAUAGAAGGGAACUCUUACUAAAAGGAAGAAAGGGGAUUUAUGGGAAAUUGUUGCAUGGGAUUUGAAAAGUGGUAUGAGGUGGAGGCGGAUGAUGAUGUAAGAGGUCUGCAGGAAAGGGAUGUGUUGGGGUCUGUUUGUUGAAGUGGUGGGGGGAGGGGGGGGGGGGUGAUAAUAUAUGGGGGGCUAGGAGGGGUUAAAUGGGGGGUUUCCUAAAGGUGACUUCUGGAGUAUGGUUCAGCGUCCUACAGGUCCAUGGAGCAUAGUUCUGAAGAGAAGUAAUUUUCAAGGAUAUUCUAGGGCAUCCAAGAACUUCCGCGAAUAAAGGCCUUAAGAUCUACAAGCGUAAUCGAUGGAUUGUAGUCACAUUACUGAUACGGUGCAACAUCCUACAGGUCUUUAGAUCACAGUUCUGUAGAGACGUAGUUUUCAAAGAUAUUCUAGGACCUCCAAGAACUUCCGAGAGUACAGGCCUGAAAAUCUAUGAGCGUAAUCAAUUCAUUGUUGCUAUAUUCUUGAUGCGGUGUACCAUCCUACAGAUCCAUGGAGCAUAGUUCUGAAGAGAAGUAAUUUUCAAGGAUAUUCUAGGGCAUCCAAGAACUUCCGCGAAUAAAGGCCUUAAGGUCUACAAGCGUAAUUGAUGGAUUGUAGUCACAUUACUGAUACGGUGCAACAUCCUACAGGUCUUUAGAUCACAGUUAUGUAGAGACGUAGUUUUCCAAGAUAUUCUAGGACCUCCAAGAACUUCCGCGAGUACAGGCCUGAAAAUCUACGAGCGUAAUCAAUUAAUUGUUGCUAUAUUACUGAUGCAGUAACAUCGUGCAGGUCCAUGAAGCAUAGUUCUGAAGAGAUGUUAUUUUAAGGAUAUUUUAAGACAUCCAAGAACUUCCGCGAACAAAGGUCGAUCUACAAGCGUAAUCGAUGGAUUAGUAAUGUGACUACUGAUACGGUGCAACAUCCUACAGGUUCUUACAGCAUUGUUCUGUAGAGACGUAGUUUUCAAUGACAUUCUAAGAUCUCCAAUAACUUCCGAGAGUACAGGCCUGAAAAUCUACGGGCGUAAUCAAUUAAUUGUUUCUAUAUUAUUGAUGCAGUGUAACAUCCUACAGGUCCAUGGAGCGAAUGGGUGACAAAACGUCGAAUGCCAAAACGUCGAAUGCCAGAACGUCGAAUGCCUAAACGUCGAAAGGACAAAACGUCGAAGGGACAAAACGUCGAAAGGACAAAACGUCGAAAAGUGUGUAUGUGUUCACAGUUCAGCGUGGAUUUUUUUUUUGAAUUUUUGUGUGAAUUUAAAUCGAUCCUGUUGGUAGCCUGGGAGGGGUGAUGAUACGGUAGAUCCACCAAGAUGGCAGGAUGACGAGUUGAUUAAUGGGGACACAUGAACAUUGUCUCGUUAUCUGGGGUCACUGCCCGAACGCUGAAGGUCAGUGACUCAUUUUGCACUCUAUAAUGCUUCAGUUGAAACCACUAGAUGAGUAAGUGCGAGUAAGUGCGAGGAUACUUAGCAUUGUUGUACAAGUACCAUAUUCUGUGAAUACCGGAUGAAUUGCGGAGAAGGAUAGCUAGUCAAAAUCCCGCUAUUUCAAGUAGAACUCCGGUUCUGAAUGAGGAAGACAUUCCCCUUACGUUGGGAUGGUACCGGCAAGUCGUGCCGUAAACCAAACCAGACGCCCUUGAAGGAACAAUACACCCGAUGAUCGCCAUCGCCACCCUAAAGGUGCCAGAGAUCCGGCAGACGAUAGCUAGAGGCUACCAUCGAAGCUACCCUGAAGGAAGCUGUGACGUAAUGCUGAAAAUUUGUGGAAGGAAAUUUGUGACAGUGUGCCACUCGCAGUGUUGCAUUUGAACACGAUCAAUUUGCGUUGAAGUUCAAAAACGGCACGCUGUGAUCAAACAUAUUUGAACAUUGUUCAGUUCAAAAUUUGAUCAAGAACUGCACCAGCAAAAACAUGGCACCCUGGUACCUGGUAAACUUAAAUGGUCAUGUGUCUGCCAUUUUUUCACAAAUUCUAACAAUCUUGGGUUGACUCGAUUCAGAAAGUCACCCUCUAUUGAGAAGGGGAACCAGUUCGGUCACCGUGGAUUACCAGAAAAUCCGGAUUUCGGUGCAGAAUCUUAAUGCCGGAUAUUCACGCAACAACGCAUGAUGCAGAUGCGUCACAAAGUCCUAGGGCAGCACCUUGGUCAGGACGCACAUAAGAUUUGAAGACACAUCCAAGCUCAGUUCCUUUUUGGCUCGCGUUUAGUUCAAAUGCAGCACUGGGUGCCAGUAGAAGGGGCCUCAAAGAAGUAAGAGAAGAAAAGCCGGGAAAGUUCGGAAAUAAAUAAUUUUACACUUAACGUGACGUGAUGUGAGUUUUUUAUAUACGACAGUGCGAAUAUUCCCUAUCCACGAAGAACUGGUUAAGGAACAUGCCGACCCUGAGGCUUCCCUCUGAACUAGUUGGCAGAUACAAGUGAAAUAAUGAGUAUCCUUUAAAAGAAUAAAGAACUCACUAUUUGCUUAGAUUACUCGUUUUCGACGUUUUCGACGUUUUGUCCUUUCGACGUUUUGUCCCUUUCGACGUUUUGGCAUUCGACCUUUUGGCAUUCGACGUUUUGGCAUUCGACGUUUUGUCUUUCGACGUUUUGUCCCUAAGCCCCAUGGAGCAUAGUUCUGAAGAGAAGUAAUUUUCAAGAAUAUUCUAGGGCAUCCAAGAACUUCCGCGAGUAGUGGCCUUAAAAUCUAAAAGUGUAAUCGAUGGAUUGUAGUUACAUUACUGAUACGGUGUUACAUCCUGCAUGUCCAUGGAGCAUAGUUCUGAAGAGAUGUUGUUUUCAAGGAUAUUCUAGGGCAUCCAAGAACUUCCGCGAAUAAAGGCCUUAAGAUCUACAAGCGUAAUAAAUGGAUUGUAGUCACAUUACUGAUACGGUGCAACAUCCUAAAGGUCCUUAGAGCAUAGUUUUGUAGAGACGUAGUUUUUAAAGAUAUUCUAGGACCUCCAAGAACUUCCGAGAGUUCAGGCCUGAAAACCUACGAGCGUAAUCAAUUAAUUUUUGCUAUAUUAUUGAUGCGGUGUAACAUCCUACAGUUCCAUGCAGCAUAGUUCUGUAGAAAAGAAACUUUCCAAAUAUGCUCUAGGUCAUCCAAGAAUUUCCGCGAAUAAAGAAUUCAAGAUCUACAAGCGUAAUAAAUGGAUUUUUGUUACAUUACUGAUACGGUGUAACAUCCUACAGGUCCAUGGAGCAUAUUUCUGAAGAGAUGUUAUUUUCAAGGAUAUUCUAGGGAAACCAAGAACUUCCGCGAGUAGUGGCCUUAAGAUCUACAAGCGUAAUCGAUGGAUUGUACUUACAUUACUGAUACGAUGUAACAUCCUACAGGUCUUCAGAGCAUAGUUCUGUAGAGACGUACUUUUCCAAGAUAUUCUAGGACCUCCUAGAACUUCCGCGAGUAUAUGCCUAGCAUAUUCAAUCAAUUGUUGUUACAUUACUGAUACGGUGUAAAGUCAUACAGAUUUAUUGAACACGGAGAUGUCAUUUGCAAAGAUGUUCUUUCUAGGUCAUCCAAGAACUUCCGCGAGAUAAGGUCUUAAGAUCAGAAUCAAGCAUAAUCAAUAGAUUAUUGUAAUAUAACUGAUGCGGUUCAACAUCCCACAAGUCCAUGGAGCAUGUUUUUUUCCAAUGAUAUUCUAGGUCAUCCAGAAUUUCCACGAGUGCAGAACAGUGUUAUAUCUUACAGGUCUAUGGAGCAUGGUUCUGCAGAGAAGUUACAGGGGAUAGGCAAAAUGAUCGGGACAGGCAAAAUUUUCAGUUUUCAAAAAAUUUGCUAACAGCUGUAACUUUUAGAAAGGUGCAUCAAAUGUUCUCAAAUUUUCACUGUAAAAUGAUCAACUAGUUGUGUAUCAGAGGUCCAAUUUUGGAGAAGAUCGGGCUAUUCUGCACGAAGUUAUAAAGAUUCUAGAAAAAAAAUAUCCGAAAGCCAACUAUGAGCUGUUACAUCUCCGGAUUCAAUAAACCGAAUGCAAUGAAAUUUUGACCAUUUAUGACUUAUAUAAUAUGCUCUUAAAAACGUUUGACUCAAUCUGAAAUUUUUAACAAGCAAAAAAGUUAUUGCGAUUUAAUUUAUUUUAUGAUUUUUUAGUAAACUGAUCUAUUUUUAAUAUUCAUCCCAUUACUUUUUUAUUUUAUUGUCGGCUAUGUUUAUACUUUCCUUCAAACCAAAUUUUUAUUCAGCUGGGAGAGGGAAUUCAAAUGAACUAUAAAUAGUAUCUUAAAUUUUGAAACGAUGUUGAAGUUUUUGAUAAUUUGGCGUUUUAUUAGAAAAAUAAUCUUAUCGUUAUAAUUUUCUUCGGCGGUAAAAAUUCUAUGUUUAGUCAAAGGCUUUUCAGAGCUCAUUAUAUAAGUCAUAAUUGGUCAAAAUUUCAUUGCGUUCGGUUCAUUGAAUCCGGAGAUAUAACAGCUCAAAGUUUGCUAUCGGAUAAUUAUACCGUCAAAUGGGGUAACUUGCAACACUUUUCGACUUUGAAGCAAUACCAUUGGAAAUCUAAAUAUUUGAAACAUCCUGUAAAGCAUCGUGUACGCUAAUUACCUCGAGUAGAAUACUAUGCAGCACUUGAUUUACCAAAAUACGUUGCUACCUAAUCAAGAGGUGCGAAAUACAUGCUUGUUGCAAGUUUCCCCAUCUGUGGGGUAACUUGUAACACAGGACAUGAAGCUAAGUUAGCUGUCAUUAUACAGCACUAACAUUCUAGGGCUUAGGGUAAUUCGCUAAUUGUUGAACACUACCCAAAUGUUGAACAGUUUCUGAAUAUUUUAUUAUAAAUCUUACUUUAGUAAUUUUCAUCCAACGUAAACGUAUGAUGUAGAUGCAUAUACAUAUGGGUUACGAUAUUGUUCUUAUUAAGUUACAAAGUUAUACAUAUUUUAUGUCAAAACAAUUGAUUGAAAAUUUAGUGCCGCUGAUGACACGAAAACUGCACAAUUCUUAAGAUUUAUUUUAAGAAAUUGUUGUUACGAAAUAAGCUUUGCGGGCAAAUCGAUCACAAAUAUCAAAGGCACACCAUAGUUACAAGAACUGGAAGGAUGUCCUUAACAGUUUAACAUUGUUUAAAAUCACAUUUUCAUUGUAUUUCAAUUUGAAAAUAGUUAUUUAUGCAACAAGUUGCAAAAUGAUGAUUUUUUUAGCACGAGUUGUACGUUUAUCCAACGAGGCUUGCCGAGUUGGAUAAAUACGACGAGUGCUGAAAAAAUCGAGUUUUGCAACGCGUUGCAUACAAAGUUUUUUGUAAUUGCAAAAAUUCCCGUACAGUAUAAUCUCUCUAGCCACACAAACGUGUAUCAGCAGCAACCACGUGCGAGCCUCCAUGCUCGCACGGACAGGACGUAGUGCAUAGUAUUUUCUUCGAUCAGGUAGGCUAUGGUGGGCCAACUGUCGCAAGUUUUCAAGCUCCCGUCGUCGUCAUGCAGCAUCAUGAGCAAAAGCAAAAGUAGGUUCAGCUUCUGCUUCUACACCUGAUUGGCAGUUCAAAUCAGAAUCUGAAUCGUCCUGAUUCGGAUUCGAACUGAUCAGUGCAUGUAGAAGCAGCAACUGUAUCUACGGAAGUAGCGGUACUAAACAAAAAGUGUGUGCUAGCAAAAGUGCCGAAAAGUGAUACUUUUCAGCACUCUAAAGAGUGCCGAAAAGUAGCACUUUUCGGCACCUUUGCUUCAGUGAAGAAAAGUAGGCCGUUUUAUCAUUGUUACCGCGAGUGAAAAGUAGGGGAAUUCGCAACGCAAUUACAAAAAAUAUUUUUCUUAUCACACUAUCAUUAUGCAUCCAUGAUCCAAUUGUUGAACACUGGCAUAAUCUACGAUGUUAGCAUGACUGCUAGAUUUUUUUUUUCACUUUACCUAACCGUGCAUUUCAUGGGGUUUCAAGGGCGUUCCAGGGAUGUUCUAGGAGUGUUCCAGUGGGCUUCAGAAAGAUUCCAGUGGUUUUCAAUGGGUUUCAAGGGCGUUCCAGAGUUGUUCAAGAGGAAUUCAGAGUGUUAAGGGGGUGCCAGGAGUAUUUCAAGGCGUUCCAGGAGGUUCAGGAGCAACCCACGGGUUUUCAAGGGAUUUCAGGGUAGUUCCACGAGUGUUCUUGAGGGUUGAGUGGGUCCCAUGGGUUUCCAGAAGUGUUUCAGGGGCUUUCAAAGGCAUACUUUUCUUCUGUCGUUUUCGCUUCUAAUCAAAUCUUUUCAGCCAUUUUUGCAUCUAGUCAUGUUUAAAACGUUUUCAGUCCACUGGAGUUGUUUUAAAUGAGCAAUUCCUUGCCAUUUAAAUGAAUCGUCACUAGCUCGGACUAGCUGGGCACAAAACACGAAAAACCCGGAAAAAUCCGCCAGAGUGAAAAAAUAUCGGAUGUCGGGUCAAAGUCGGGUCAAAUUUUAUCAAAUGUUUGACCACUGUUGGACUCACAUCGGAUAAUUGUUGGGUCUAUGUUGGGUUUGGUGGCCAAAAUAAAAACAGGUGAAUGAUAGGUUGAUGUCGGGUUAUACGUCAUCAAUUACGAACAAAGCUUCAACCGUUCAACAAUUGGCGAAAACCGUCCAACAUUAGGAUGAGCUAGCUCAAGGAAGCGUUCAACAUUUGGGUUACAGACUUCCCAUACAAAUGUUCUAUUUUUUCUUAGAAAAUGUAAUUUAAGGGAAUACAAAUUCAAUGGGCAGUAUAAGGGAUGAGUAGAUCUAGACGUUCGCUGGAUAUUUUUCAACUAAAGUGGAAUUAUGCACGGAAAAACAAACGAAAACCAAAAUGCCAGUACUAACCGUUCAACAAUUGGCGAAUUACCCUAGUCGUAUUGUUGAAUUUUGAUGUAAUGCAUGGAAAAUGUAUUGAAAAGAUUUACACUAACCAAUUGACAUAUAAUUUUUCAUGAAAGGGUUGAUAGCUAUUGCAAGCGAGAGUAUAUCGUUUAACAACAGGUCUCACGUCCUUAAGGACGAGGUCUCUCGUCCUUAAUUAUAAAAUGAAUAUGGAUCUUGUGACUCAGUAUUCGUAACAAAAUGUCAACAAUGAUUAUUGUCAUUUCUUGAAAAGGUAGAGUGAGUCAUCUUUAAGUAGUUUUUAGUUUGAAGUGGUGUUUGGCAAUUUCAGCUAAAAUAAACAUGAUAGAAACACACCUAUUCAACUUUGUAAAUAUCAAAAUCGUUAAUUUGGUUCAGCUGAAAUAAUUUACUCCAUCUAGGUUCAUAAUUGAUGUUGGUGAUUGUUUUAAAGCGUCCAUCAGCUAAAUUGAACUUUUGCAAGAUGAAACAUGAAUAAAACUUCAAAAUAUUGUAUUUCCUAACAAUGUUGGACGAUCACGUGCAAAAAUGGAAAAAAAAUGAAUUGUCAUUAGAAAAUGAACGCGUUACGACACGUAAUCAAUAUAUGAUCCAUUUCGGUUAUUUCUGUCAAAAUCAUCGUAAAAUGAAGAUAAAUAAUUGAAGAGUUUGUCAAAUUCAACUGUUGCAAGUUACCCCAUAAUGGUUGUCGAAUAUUAUAAUGAUUUUGGACAAUUGGACCGCAAUUCCAGAUGUAGUAUUACAACAAUGCAUUUGGAGAUUUAUUAUGCGGUGUGCUGUGCCUACAUCUGUUUUACAUCAAUAUAAAUUCUUUACCCUUAGCAGACCACCCAGCUUCAUACAGUUCAUAAAACUUCAACAUAAAUCUUUUACCGAAACCACUCGAGGUGACAGACCCGAACCAUACCCAGGUCAAUUUACAUUUCACAGCGUGAGAACACAAAUGCGAACGAACUGCAAUGUAACAGUCAGCAGUAUGCAUUCUGUUUUACUUAACCCAUUUGAUUCCUAUUAAGGCUCAAGCAUCCGUCAUCAGUUUUCGGAAAUAGAAAAACAGUUUUUUCACUAUAAAUCAAAACAAUGACCACGAAAAUGUAUUCACUGUAUUCUAUUCCUCAUGUGGAACACAAUGAAUCCAUUUUCGUUGCAAAAAUGGUUGAUUUGAACGAAAAAACUGCUUUCAAAUGUUUGAUGCUGACGAUGAUUUCAAUGACGAAUGGUUCAACGUUAACGACACACAACUAACUGACUAGCACAGCGCAACUCUAUCUGUCCCUCUCUAUAUCUCUAUAUACUUUAACGUUGAACCAUUCGUCAUUGAAAUCAUCGUCAGCAUCAAACAUUUGAAAGCAGUUUUUUCGUUCAAAUCAACCAUUUUUGCAACGAAAAUGGAUUCAUUGUGUUCCACAUGAGGAAUAGAAUACAGUGAAUACAUUUUCGUGGUCAUUGUUUUGAUUUAUAGUGAAAAAACUGUUUUUCUAUUUCCGAAAACUGAUGACGGAUGCUUGAGCCUUAAACGUGUAAGUGAGGAUCGAUACAUAUUUGAUCGAUCCCGAAAUUCAUGUAACCUAGCAAGUAAGAUUGGUUGAAAUAAAACAUUCAUUCAAAACCGAACCACCAAAGUAUCCGCUUGUGACGAUAAGUCCCCACAGCGGGAAACGUUAUUUUCGGGCGAGUGAUUUUUUGGCCGAAAGAAAUUCGAGCGUUUAUUAUUCAGGUAUUUGGAAUUCGGACGAAUGACAUUCGAGUUUUGUUUCCAAAGCAUCUCACUUUUGGAGUAUAAUGGGAUACUUGUUGAGUAUGUAUAAUCGAUAAAACUAAUUUAUCAGUCAACAACAUUUAAGUUUCGUAGCGACCAAACCCAAACAGAAAUUACCCAAUCAUCUCUCUUUUGAAUACUUUACCAAUGCGCAAAAAUAAGUCCGAAGUUGACCAAAGUUCAUAACUAUCGCAGUCGCAGUUGACAACCGGUAAACCUCAAGGAUGUUGCACCGCAUCAGUAAUGAAACAACAAUUCAUUGAUUACGCUUUCAGAGAUCCUAGGGUUCAUGGAAGUUCUUGGGAAUCAUAGAAUAUCUUUGGAAAUUAGUUCAUUACACAACAAUUCUCCAUGGACCUGUAGGAUCUUGCACAGCAUCAAUAAUAUAAUAAAAAUCCACAUAUUAUCCUUGUAGAUCUUGAGGCCUCUACUCGCGGAAGUUCUUUUAGGACUUGAAAUAUCUUCGGAGAUUUGUUCUCUUCAACUCAAUGCUCCAUGGUAUUUUAUGAUCUUGCACCGUAUAUUGCAUCUUUUGCACCGUAUUCGACCCCCUGCAAAAUUUUUUUGUCCCACCACAAUAUGUUCUCACCAGUUUUAGCAUACAUUGGUUCGUUUCGCUGCUAGAAUUUUUCAGCGUCGGUUACACUUUUUGGAUGGUGCAUGGAAUAAUCGGUUUGUUUACAUGCUACUUCCUAUGGCGUUUGACGUGUGAACAAAUAUUUCAAACGAUUGAACAUUUGCACGGUAAUCUAAGGAGCAAAGCAAGAUGCAAUAAGUAGUGUAACAACAAGGCACCGAAUACGCUAGCAAGAUGCGAUUCACCCCUGGAAGUGCUGCAGUGAAACCUUUGGCCGAAUCCAUUUCCUGCCCAUCCCUCAAAAUGUGACCUUCUAACCUCGAGCUGGCACGAGUACCAUGGCUUCCACCCAUUACUAACAGAUAUCAUUAAAAAGUUAUUACUCUGUAUAAUGUAUACUAUUAAGUACAAAGAAUGAUCCUCGGCUCCGUAAAGCGUUAUACGCGAUUGAGCCCCAAAUAAAUGAACUAGAUAAAAAAAAAUGUAGUGUAACAACAAUCCAUUGAUUAUGCUUGUAGAUCUUCAGAAAAUAGAAAAUUACUCAUGGAAGUUCUUGGAGUACCUAGAAGAUGUUCGGCAAUUAUUUCUCAACAGAACUAUGUUCCCUGGACGUUUAGGACGCUAUACUGUAUCAGUAAUGUGACAAAAAACCAUUGAUAACGCUUGUAGAUCUUCAGGUCUAUACUCGCGGAAAUUCUUGGGAACUUCCAUUGAUUGCGCUUAUAAAUUUUAAGGCCUUUACUUGUGGAAGUUCUUGGUGGUCCUAGAUCAUCUUUGAAAAUUAUUUCUCUCAGAACUAUGCUCUCUGGACCUGUAGGACGCUACACUGUAUCAGUAGUGUUGCAACAAACCAUUGAUAACGGUUGUAGAUCUUCAGGUCUUUACUCGUGGACGUUCUUAGAGGACCUAGAACAUCUACGGAAAUUAGAUCCUUACAGAAAAAAUGUUCAUGGACCUGUAGCAUGUUACAACGUAUUAGAAAUGUAACAACAAUCCAUUGAUUACGCUUGUUGAUCUUAAGGCCUUUACUCGUGGAAGUUCUUGGAGGUCCUAGAUCAUCUUUGGAAAUUAUAUCUCUACAGAACUAUGCUCCCUGGACCUGUAGGACGCUACACUAUAUCAGUAAUGUGACAACACACCAUUGAUAACGUUUGUAGAUCUUAAGGCAUUUACUCGCAGAAGUUCUUGGAGGUCCAAGAUCAUUUUUGGAAAUUAUAUCUCUAAAGACCUAUGCUCCCUGGACCUGUAGGACGCUACACUGCAUUAGUAAUGUGACAACAAACAAUUGAUAAGGCUUGUAGAUAUUCAGGUGUUUACUCAUGGAAGUUCUUGGAGAUCCUAGAUCAUCUUUGGAAAUUAGUUCUCUACAGAACUAUGCUCAUUGGACCUGUAGGAUGCUACACUAUAUCAGUAAUGUGGCAACACAUCAUUGAUAACGUUUGUAGAUCUUAUGGCCUUUACUCACGGGAGUUCUUGGAGGUCCUAAAUCAUUUUUGGAAAUAAUUUCUCUAAAGACCUAUGCUCCCUGGACCUGUAGGACGCUACACUGUAUUAGUAAUGUGACAACAAACCAUUGAUAACGCUUGUAGAUAUUCAGGUCUUUACUCAUGGAAGUUCUUGGAGAUCCUAGAUCUCUCUCUCUCUCUUCUUGGCGUAACAUCCUCAUUGGGACAAAGCCUGCUUCUCAGCUUAGUGUUCUAUGAGCACUUCCACAGUUAUUAACUGAGAGCUUCCUCUGCCAAUGACCAUUUUGCAUGCGUAUAUCGUGUGGCAGGCACGAAGAUACUCUAUGCUCAAGGAAGUCAAGGAAAUUCAAGGAGAUCCUAGAUCAUCUUUGGAAAUUAUUUCUAUACAGAAAAAUGGUUCAUGGACCUGUAGCAUUCUACAACGUAUUAGAAAUGUAACAACAAUCCAUUGAUUACGCUUGUAGAUCUUAAGGCCGUUACUCGCGGAAGUUCUUGGAUGUCCUAGAUCAUCUUUGGAAAUUAUUUCUCUACAGAACUUUUCUCCCUGGACCUGUAGGACGCUACACUGUAUCAGUUAUGUGACAACAAACCAUUGAUAACACUCGUAGACCUUCAGGUCUUUACUCUUGGAGGACCUAGAACAUCUGUGGAAUUCAGUUUCUUACAGAAAAAUUGUUCAUGAACCUGUAGCAUGUUACAACGUAUUAGAAAUGUAACAACAAUCCAUUGAUUACGCUUGUAGUUCUUAAGGCCUUAACUCGCGGAAGUUCAUGGAAGACCUAGCAUAUCUUUAGAAAUGAAUACUCUUCAGUACAAUGCUCAUUGGACAUCUGUGAUGUUACAACGUAUCGAAAAUGUAGCAAGAAACAAUUGGCUAUGUUUGUAGAUCUUGUGGCCUUUACUCGCGGAAGUUCUUGGAGAUCAAAAUUGGAGGUCAAGUUUGAAUAUUAUUUGUUUACAGAAUAAUGCUCCGUAGACCUGUAAUGACCCAAAAUAUCCUUUGCGAUCUUCCUUUGAAACAGUAUGCACUCUGCUCCCCAUAACCCAUCCCUUGUCCCCUUCCCCACUAACCCCUAGAUUCAACCCACUACCUGCAGCACCCCCUCCCCCCCCCACUUUCCUUAUUAACUCUCUAACACAAACCUCGAAUAUCUGAAGGUGAGGUCAUUUCAAAUAUUUUCAGAUUUCCCUCAGUUUUUUUUACACGGAUUCCCGAAUUAGCACGGUAUUUUUUUACACGGUUUCUGAAAUUAACACGGUUUUUUACACGAUUUCGCGAAUUAACACGGUUUGUUUUUACACGGUUUCGCGAAUUGAAACGGUUUUUUUACACGGGACUAUCCCCCGUGUAAAAAAAAGACCUUAGUGUAUAGUAGUUUUUGAGGGGUUUACGUUUAAGCCCUCUUUCCUACACCAUUCUAGCGUAAUAUUGAGCGCAAAUUGUAGCCGAUUAGAGAUCGUGUCAUUGAAUUUCCCACGUACAAUAAUGGUCACAUCAUCUGCAUAUCCAAUGAUCUCAAACCUUGAUCAGCUACCUUUUUAAGGAGUUCGUCUACUACCAAAGACCACAUAGUAAGGGCGAUAAUACUCCGCCUUGAGGACAGCCCUUCAUUGAUCUAACAGAUAGUUGGGCACCUCCAAGAUCAGCAGAAAUUUCCCGAUUUUUCAGCAUAGCCAUUAUUUAUUCUAUUAUGCAUUUAUCCAACCCUCUAGCUUCCAAUGCUGAACGCAUUGAGCUUUAGGAUGCAUUAUCGAAUGCUCCUUCGAUAUCGAGAAAGGCAGCAAUUUCCUUGGCUUGAAGCGAUUGCAAUUUGCAAUUUGCUAAGUGGCAUCUCUACUAAGCUGGUUGACUUGAUAAAGUCAUCCAAUAUCUUUUCCAUUGUUUUCAAUAGAACUGAGGAAAGGCUUAUCGGUCUGAAAGCUUUUGGAGUUGUUAUAUCCCUUUUGCCAGCUUUCGGAAUAAACACAACUCGAACCUUCCUCCAUGCUUUAAGUAUGUCGACCAUACAUGUCUUGCCUCGUCUGAGUCCUGCUCAUCAUUCAAAUAAGGAAUCGUUCCUGGAAAGUGAGUUCUUAUCAUUACUUCCAACUUUCGAGAUGAACCAGCCGAGGGCUGAAAAUCUCGAUAAUAAAGAAAAAUAAUAAUAAUAAUAAUUACUUUCAACGUUUCCGAAGAAUCAACGGUAAAGCUUCCAUCUUUUUUUUAAGGCUGCCAAGCCCAUUCGAAUGGUCCUUAGAAAGGACUUUAUGUAACCUUGCAGUUGUAGGGGCGUUGUUAAUCUCUUCACAUACCCUCUUCCAAUCCUUUCGUUUGGCUUGCCUUAUUUCUUUGUUAUAUUCUGAUAGGACCUUUUUAUAUACAUCUCAGUCAGAAGUAACUUUCGCUCUGUUAAAUAAACGUCUAGAUUUCUUUCUCAAUUCCGCCAGCCUGUUGUUCCACCAAGAUACAUCCCUGUUUGAUGACCUAUGUUGAACAGGACAGCUGGCAUGAUACAAUGAGACCAAUUUGUUUCCAAUUUCAUCAGAGACGCCUUCCAAAUGUGAAACCGAAGUAAUUUGCUCUCAAUUAUAAGAAUGGUAUCUUAGACUUUUUAGCCAAACUAACCUGAAAAUAAUGUUAAAUAGAACUAUCUUUGAUAGUGUGGACAAGAACCUAUCAAGUUCAACAUUAUUAGAAUGCGCUUUGGAAAUUCUCCAGAGCGUCUUAGACAACCCUUCAUAUAUAGGAUCGCCCACGUCUAAGUCCGAGUCAAGGUCUGAGUAGUCUCUGAUUGCAUUAACAGCACAGCAAUAAAAAUCUUGUGAUAUCACAUCAUUUUUGCUGCACAUCAGUCGCCUCGUGAAAGUGAUGUACAGAUUACAUUCUUUUCACGCAGCAAAUUAGUCGCUUUAGAGUGGGUCUAGCAAUCGCUAGAACCGAAUCGAUAGAUGAAUCAUAUAUAAGUAAAAUAUUGGCAUGGAUUCGUAUACGGAUCCGUUGAUUGUGAGUCAUCCUUACCUUACCUCUCGGCUAUUUCACAGAGUUAGAAGGUGGGUGAUAAAUAAGAUACUGCUUCUAGGUAUCUGCUGGAAUGGGUUUGUUGACACUUUCCGGUGUCAACCAGGGUGUACAUGGUGAGUGUGUGAUAAUUGUUGGAAAACGACGUUGCCGAAUGAAAUUACGUUCGAAAUUGGAUACGUCGCCAAAAAUUACGCGACUGGAUAUUACAAUAUUAUUUGCUGUGAAUUGAAGCUCAGGCUCCAAUGCCCCACCAGGCAGAUAACUGGGUUUCGCAAACUAAGCAUUAUUUGUGGCAACACUUUGAGCGGCAUGAUGGAACUAUGACGAGCGCGCUAAGUGUUAUUAGACCAAUAAUAUAGUUGCAUGGAGUGGGUGACGAGGUACAUUACAGCGUGCAAACCGUUAUUGCUAUAAUGAGGCUUCAGUUUGACUAAAGUUUGAAAUACAUAACAGCUCAUGAGAAAACUGUCAAUUUCGAUUCAAUUAUAAAUAUAAAUAUUAAGUUAGGUUAAAAAUCGAACCCGCAGACGAACCUAUAUUAGAAGUCGUUUCAGUGUCCAGUACAUAUGUUAAAGAUGGCUCUACGUCAAAGAUAAAUUUCGUCAAUCGCAUUUGAUUCGGUUGUGGUCGAAGGCAAGUUCACAUGAGAGAAGGGGAGAAAAAUCCCCUAGAUGCAAAUACAGAAAGAAUAGUGUUGAACUCAUCCACUGAUUUACGGUAAUCUGACCUGCGUGUUUCCGAGUUGACCAACAUUCUUAUUCCUCUCAUCGCACUCUACUAACCUAGCCCGCCAUAUCUCUUGGAUCUGAAGUCCUUUGGGCACCUGGUUAACCACUUAUUUAAACAUUUUAAAUAUUGACUUUAAAUUGAUGGUUCAACUUAUUCACAUUUUUCUCAUUCUUUCCUUUGCAAAAAUAAGUCCCGAACAUCAACAAAACAAAGCAAGGAAAAAAUCUAAAACUGAAUAAAUAAUUAAAACUUCACGGAAAAAUAAUAUUUCGGAAAAGUGAAUGGUUCAAACGUAAGAAAAACAGUAUAAUAUAUUGUUACAUAAAGAUCGGAUGUAAAUGUAUAGUACCGUCGAUGGGGGUGACAAUGGGUCUGGGGGUGAGAUUGGGUCAAAACGGAAAAACAUAAAAUUUGAAAUAGCUUAUCAACUAUGGCUAAUUUAUAUUGAAAACUUUAUAUUAUUUCAAAGAGGAGAUGUUUUUACACGUCAUGAUGCAAAAAAAGAUGUUUAGCAAUAAUUGUUUUUUGUUCAAAUUGUGGCUAAACUUAUAUGAUGAAACUACUAGUAAAUCACUCUGAAAAAAUUUCUCCUUCGCAAUGUUUCACACAAGCACCUAACCAUAAAUUUUCUUAUAAGUAGUUAGCUGUAGGUAUUACCUGGUUUAUGCAACGAAAAAAGUGGGCUGUCAAUGUACUUAAAAAAAAAAUCAAUAUUUUCGACCCUAUGUCUAAAUAUUAAAAAUGGGGGUGAGAUUGGGUCAAGCAAGUUAUCAAGUGCACAUAACCUUAACUAAAAAUUCAACUUGUUAUCCAGUCCCCAUUUGAUGUUAGAGUGGUGCCAUGUUUACCGUAUCUUCAUAAAAGUACGUUUUUUUUUCGAAAAUAUGUCGCAGAAGUGUCAAGCGAGUGUGUUCAUACGUUUAGUACCUAAAAUCAUUUAUAACAAUAAACAUGGACAUGGACAGCUCAUCUAAUCAUCAUCUAACGUUUAGUGUACUGAAAUAUCGUAAGCUCACAAAAUAGACUUAAAAACGUUCUCCUUCUCCACUCAUUUUUGAAAUUUUAAGGAAGUAUCCUGAAACUACCAGACAGUAGUGGGAUUCAGGAAAUACAGGGGCUAUAAAACCGGUGACAUAGUACAAUGUCGGAAAGUGAAUGAAUGUCGCAUUUUGGGUUGGUUAAACAUUUCUCAUGCAAUCUUUCAAUGCGUCCCUCUCUUAUUGUAAUCCCCUCCCCUCCUCUCAUGGAGGUUGAAACUUUGAAUGAGGAUGAUUA